rfam:Oryza glumipatula chromosome 1, whole genome shotgun sequence.
UUUAAGCACAGUUGUGAAUUUAUGUGUCCAACGUUUUAACAUCCAUCUUAUUUAAUUUUUUUAUGAUUAGUAUUUUUGUUGUUUUUAGAUUAUAAAAAAUAAAUAAUAUUUUAUGCUUAACUUAUUUUUUAAAUUCUUUUUAAAUAAAAUUUUCAAAUAAAAUGGAUAGUAAAAUAUUAAACACGGAAACUUAUUACUGCACUUUGA